rnacentral:rRNA from 1 species
AUUGAACGCUGGCGGCAUGCCUUACACAUGCAAGUCGAACGGCAGCGGACCUUCGGGUGCCGGCGAGUGGCGAACGGGUGAGUAAUGUAUCGGAACGUACCUUUCAGUGGGGGAUAACGUAGCGAAAGUUACGCUAAUACCGCAUAUUCUGUGAGCAGGAAAGCAGGGGAUCGCAAGACCUUGCGCUGAUUGAGCGGCCGAUAUCAGAUUAGCUAGUUGGUGAGGUAAAGGCUCACCAAGGCGACGAUCUGUAGCGGGUCUGAGAGGAUGAUCCGCCACACUGGAACUGAGACACGGUCCAGACUCCUACGGGAGGCAGCAGUGGGGAAUUUUGGACAAUGGGGGCAACCCUGAUCCAGCCAUGCCGCGUGAGUGAAGAAGGCCUUCGGGUUGUAAAGCUCUUUCGUCCGGGAAGAAAUCGCAUCAGCUAAUACCUGGUGUGGAUGACGGUACCGGAAUAAGAAGCACCGGCUAACUACGUACCAGCAGCCGCAGUAACAC